AUUGUGAACUGCAGGCUCGAAAAGCUCUAGAGUGUUGGAAGCAGAAUUUUGUAAAAAGAAAGUAAGAUUCAGAGGACGGAGAAAAAAGCUAUAAAACACCUUGUCGUGGACAUAGCAUGGCUGAGGAACCUUUGAACUCACUGCAACUGUGGUCGACUGUACAAGAUCAAUCUAAUUAAAAUUCUAGAAUUGAUGGGGAAGGGACUUCUGAGGCCAAGCCCUAGUUAGGAAGCUAUUGGUAAUUGAUGGCUGAAGAGUGAUGGAGAGUCACAUUUGGAGGAGAAUCUAGACACUAGUAGGUUGCAUAAGUUCCAUUAAGUGUCUCUGUACUCUUAUCUAGCACCAAUUGCAUACAUGAUAUUGAUACUAGCAAUCUUAAAAGAGUACAUGAAGUACAGAGUUGUCAUGUUGGUGAGUCCUAGAGGGG
rnacentral:lncRNA from 1 species